CCUACGGGUGGCAGCAGUCGAGAAUCAUUCACAAUGGGGGAAACCCUGAUGGUGCGACGCCGCGUGGGGGAAUGAAGGUCUUCGGAUUGUAAACCCCUGUCAUGUGGGGGCAAAUUCAAAAGAUAGUACCACAAGAGGAAGAGACGGCUAACUCUGUGCCAGCAGCCGCGGUACUACAGAGGUCUCAAGAGUUGUUAGGCAUCACUGGGCGUAAAGCGUGCGUAGGCUGUUUUGGAAGUCGGGUGUGAAAGGCGCGGGCUCAACCCGCGGACGGCACAUGAUACUGCGAGACUAGAGAAAUGGAGGGGGAACCGGAAUGCACGGUGUAGCAGUGAAAUGCGUAGAUAUCGAGAGGAACACUCGUGGCGAAGGCGGGUUCCUGGACAUUAACUGACGCUGAGGCACGAAGGCCAGGGGAGCGAAAGGGAUUAGAUACCCCUGUAGUC
rnacentral:rRNA from 1 species